AGCUAGUUGGUGGGGUAAGAGCCCACCAAGGCGACGAUCAGUAGCUGGUCUGAGAGGAUGAUCAGCCACACUGGGACUGAGACACGGCCCAGACUCCUACGGGAGGCAGCAGUGGGGAAUUUUCCGCAAUGGGCGAAAGCCUGACGGAGCAACGCCGCGUGAGGGAUGAAGGCCUCUGGGCUGUAAACCUCUUUUCUCAAGGAAGAAGACAUGACGGUACUUGAGGAAUAAGCCACGGCUAAUUCCGUGCCAGCAGCCGCGGUAAUACGGGAGUGGCAAGCGUUAUCCGGAAUUAUUGGGCGUAAAGCGUCCGCAGGCGGCCUUGUAAGUCUGUCGUUAAAGCGUGGAGCUCAACUCCAUUUAAGCGAUGGAAACUACAAGGCUGGAGUGUGGUAGGGGCAGAGGGAAUUCCCGGUGUAGCGGUGAAAUGCGUAGAUAUCGGGAAGAACACCAGUGGCGAAGGCGCUCUGCUGGGCCAUAACUGACGCUCAUGGACGAAAGCCAGGGGAGCGAAAGGGAUUAGAUACCCCUGUAGUCCUGGCCGUAAACGAUGAACACUAGGUGUCGGGGGAAUCGACCCCCUCGGUGUCGUAGCCAACGCGUUAAGUGUUCCGCCUGGGGAGUACGCACGCAAGUGUGAAACUCAAAGGAAUUGACGGGGGCCCGCACAAGCGGUGGAGUAUGUGGUCUAAUUCGAUGCAACGCGAAGAACCUUACCAGGGUUUGACAUCCUGCGAAUCCCUUGGAAACGAGGGAGUGCCUUCGGGAGCGCAGAGACAGGUGGUGCAUGGCUGUCGUCAGCUCGUGUCGUGAGAUGUUGGGUUAAGUCCCGCAACGAGCGCAACCCACGUCUUUAGUUGCCAGCAUUCAGUUGGGCACUCUAGAGAGACCGCCGGUGAUAAACCGGAGGAAGGUGUGGAUGACGUCAAGUCAUCAUGCCCCUUACAUCCUGGGCUACACACGUACUACAAUGCUACGGACAAAGGGCAGCAAGCUCGCGAGAGUAAGCAAAUCCCAUAAACCGUGGCUCAGUUCAGAUCGUAGGCUGCAACUCGCCUACGUGAAGGAGGAAUCGCUAGUAAUCGCAGGUCAGCAUACUGCGGUGAAUACGUUCCCGGGCCUUGUACACACCGCCCGUCACACCAUGGAAGUUGGCCAUGCCCGAAGUCGUUACUCCAACCCUUGUGGAGGAGGACGCCGAAGGUGGGGCUGAUGACUGGGGUGAAGUCGAAACAAGGUAGCCGUACCGAAGGUGCGGCUG
rnacentral:rRNA from 1 species